ACUUUUGAAACAAGUUUUGGAGCUUUGGGAACUCAGGAGCUCAUUUUCGUGGAUCUCCAAGUUUAGGUCGUCUCCCUCUCGAUCUUCAAGAGGUAAGAGCCGAUCUUAAGCUCCUUAUGUGUUUCAAGUAAGUUUUAAGUUGUUUUAUGGGUAGAAAUGCAUGUUAGGCUUUAAGUUGAGUUUAUGGGUUUUGUUGAUGAUUUGAACAAUGUAUGUUGAUUGUGUGUAGUGGGAGUGUUGUAGUUGGGGUAUUUGAUAGUUUGAGACCCCUAGGUGUGAUAUAUGGUAUGUAUGCAUGUUUUAGAACAAGUUUAUGCAUGAUUGGUGAGUUUGGAGGCAAAAAUGCAUAAGGGAN
rnacentral:lncRNA from 1 species